rnacentral:rRNA from 1 species
CCUACGGGAGGCAGCAGUGAGGAAUAUUGGUCAAUGGACGCGAGCCUGAACCAGCCAAGUCGCGUGAAGGAUGACUGCCCUACGGGUUGUAAACUGCUUUUGUAAGGGAGUAAUGUCAGGCACGUGUGCCUGCUUGAAAGUACCGUACGAAUAAGGAUCGGCUAACUCCGUGCCAGCAGCCGCGGUAAUACGGAGGAUCCAAGCGUUAUCCGGAUUUAUUGGGUUUAAAGGGUGCGUAGGUGGGUUUAUAAGUCAGUGGUGAAAGUUUGCGGCUCAACCGUGGACGUGCAAUUGAUACUGGCUGUCUUGAGAAGAGAUGCGGUAGGCGGAAUGCGUGGUGUAGCGGUUAAAUGCUUAGAGAUCACGCAGAACUCCGAUUGCGAAGGCAGCUUACUAAACUACAACUGACGUUGAUGCACGAAAGUGUGGGUAUCAAACAGGAUUAGAUACCCCUGUAGUC